AUACGGAGGGUGCAAGCGUUAAUCGGAAUUACUGGGCGUAAAGCGCACGCAGGCGGUUUGUUAAGUCAGAUGUGAAAUCCCCGGGCUCAACCUGGGAACUGCAUCUGAUACUGGCAAGCUUGAGUCUCGUAGAGGGGGGUAGAAUUCCAGGUGUAGCGGUGAAAUGCGUAGAGAUCUGGAGGAAUACCGGUGGCGAAGGCGGCCCCCUGGACGAAGACUGACGCGCAGGUGCGAAAGCGUGGGGAGCAAACAGGAUUAGAUACCCUGGUGGUCCACGCCGUAAACGAUGUCGACUUGGAGGUUGUGCCCUUGAGGCGUGGCUUCCGGAGCUAACGCGUUAAGUCGACCGCCUGGGGAGUACGGCCGCAAGGUUAAAACUCAAAUGAAUUGGCGGGG
rnacentral:rRNA from 1 species